rnacentral:RNase_P_RNA from 2 species
UAGGUACAGCAGAUAGUGACUUGUAUACUAGGUAUGCAAGAGGAAAGUCCGAGCUGCUAUAAGACAGUGUUCCAUUUAACUAAUGGCCGUAGUAAUAUGAGGGAAAGUGCAACAGAGAGUAGACAGCUACAUAUUUGUCGUAUAUCUGAACAGAGUCCAGAUAUACUUUCGCUAGUCGCUAUGACACUAAAGUACAAAACAAGGGAACCGCUUUUGCAUAGCAAAAUGUUUCUUUAGAAAAUGCUUUCGGCAUUUUCACUUAAAGUGUGUAGAAGAUGUGUGAGCAAAAGUAGUUACGGUGAAAGGGUGGUGUAAGAGACCACCAGUCUCUAUAGUAAUAUAGAGAGCUUGUAAACCCAACAUGGCAGCAAGAAACAGAUGGUCAGCGUCUUAUAAUGCUACUGUUUCGCUAGAAGUGCUACGCGAGUAGCAAAGUAGAUUAAUGCUAUCAAAAUAAGGGAACCGCUUUUUGCUUUGCAAAAAUGUUUCUUUAAAAACAAAACUCGGCUUACGCUGUACCAAAUAA